rnacentral:lncRNA from 1 species
AGCUCACAAGCUAUCAGAAAGUUGUAUGGCAACCACCUCCGGCGCCAAAUAGAACUGGCAGACAUAGACAUUCAGUACAAGAAGAAAAAGAUAGAAAAUCUUGCACUGGAGUCCGAAAUAAAAAAGAGGACAAUUAGGAAACUGGACCUUGAAAUAAAAAAACUUGAGAGGGAGGUGAGAUAUGCCUUCAAUGUACACUGUAUGCUAACUGUAACACAAAUGUAUUAAUCAUUAUUUUUCUUUCCUCCCCCAGCUCCAAGAAGAUGACACAGCUCAAAAUAAAAAUUAGCAAUCAGUACAACCAAGUCAUCGUUAUAAGGCACCGGCCUCUUUUGCCCACCCCCCCAGCAGCAAUGUUGUGGCAAAAUGGCCUGGCUCAGUCCAUGACUCCAGAAUCUUUCGGGCCUCUGAAAUCUAUCAGUGCCUAUCACAAGGUAAGCCACACAACCCCUAUUUAUAACCAUCAUGGCUGUGUCAAGAAUAUCACUGUGUUUAUGAGGUAGUAAUGAUGAGAUUUUGUGUUGACAGGUGAAUUCUCUGGUGUGUUGCUGGGAGACAGGGGGUAUGGCUGCCAGCCUUUUCUCCUGACACCUUUCACAGACCCCCAGGAAGCACAGCAGGCCUACAACCAUGCCCAUGCCAGGACCAGGGCCAGAGUUGAAAUGACCUUUGGCCUCCUGAAGGCACGCUUUCACUGCCUUCACAAAUUAAGGGUCAACCCUGUUAGGGCAUGUGAUAUUACUGUGGCUUGUGCUGUCCUCCACAAUGUGGCCUGCCUGAGGAAGGAGAGGGCCCCCAGAGUGCCACCAGCCAUGGACUGGGACAAUCCGGCAAUCUUCCCUGAUGACGACAGUGGUCGGCUGCUGAGGGACCAAUAUGUGUUGAAUUAUUUUAGUUAGUAUGUGUGCUUUCAAUUUAGGUAAAAAAUGUCCUGCUGUGGCAGAGGAAAUAGGGUUUUUUUGGGUUGGUUUUUUUUUACGAAUUUGGCCUCUUAUGAUGUUGUGCGGUAUACUGUGUGUAAUACAAGGCUGCAGGGAGGUCUACUGACAUCCAUUCAUUUGUCUGUUCAGUUGUAUGUUGUAUCGAUUUGUCCUGCAUUUAUUUUAGUGUGCAGACAUGCAGGGUGUGUUAUAUACAGACCUUUUGAAUGUGUAUGUAUCAUUUUGUAUAAUAUGCUUUGAUUCUGUGCUUUCCAUCUUGUAGAGUCACUGUGACUUCAGUUUCGAAAGGAGCUGAUAGUUUACCUGCUUUUUGUCCUUAUUCAAUAAAGGAACAUAAUGUUACACAUUGUGUUUUUAUAUUCAUAUGGAAUGUGUAUUUGUUUAUAUGACAGAGUACUAGGGCCCCACUGAGGAAAAAGGAUAAAGUCAUAAAUUUAUGAGGCUGGUUCUUUCUGCAGAAAAGCAACAUUCUUUUUACAGUUUUGAUAGUUAUGACAAUGUGAUACUUCAUAUUCUGGCACAUCAGCAUGUCUUUGUUUAUGAAACCAUACUGAAGUACAAUUUCACGAAAUGCCCCACAUCUGUCAUUUUAACAACUGUCCUCCUUUAAAACAACUGGUUACAAUAUUAUGACUUGUCUUUUUUUCCCUCUGUGGCCCUAAUAUUCUAUCAUUUUAUAUAUAGCCUUAUAGUCUAUGGGAAACUGUAAAUUAUCUAAUGAUAGCAACAUCAUCUAAAAAUCAUUAUUUAUCCAAAAUGAUUGAAAUUAAUGAUCACAAAUGUUUAAAUAAUGACAGUGGGUCUAGUUAUAUGUGAUAACAAUGUAUAGUGAGCAGUGAAAUAACUAUUGGUUUCCAUUUGUGGCGACUGCUGACUGACAUUAGGGAUGAGAUUAAAUAGAUCCUGGAAUUUAGCCUGGUCUGGAGCAGGCUAGCUCCACAGAAUAAAUCUCCAUGGUAAUUUAUACCAUAACAUAUCCUCCUGCCCCCUAUCCAGCUUUGGUGCAACCGGAUUAGGGAUCAAUUGAGCCAGGAUCACCAAGAUAUCCUGGCUUAAUCCCUUAUCCUACUUUUGUGCAACAGGCCCCAGAUAGGCCUCUGCGCUGAAACGUUUAUCGACGUUUAGGACAUCAAGUCUGUGGAUAAUUGCUUUUAAGUUGACAAAACUGAUUUAUAAUUAUUUUUAUGAGUAUGUAGAUACACUUUUAAAUGUGUGAUGUUAGCACACAUUCGUAAUCAAGUUUAAAUUCUGUCGAGACAAAGCCGUUUUAGACCAGGAAGGGUAACGUUAGAGUUACUUUCACUUUAUUUCUCUGACAAACAAAGCUAAAUGUGAUCGUUUACCUGUUUGAAGUGAGGGCUCACAGAGAAGAAAAACACACAGCAGAGCAAAACUCGCGGUCACGACGGAGGUGCCCAUGGCUGGAAAGCUUUUAAUUAUGUUUAAACUAUCCUGAUAUUUACUGAAUACAGCUACGCAACAACUGAACGCAGAAACAGUCUGGUGUCAGAAAAUGGUGGCUGAACGAAGGCUGACCAAUAAGAAAAUACAGCGAUGAUUUCAUUCGUAUCUGGGCAGAUGCACUGAAGCACUGAAGCAAGAUUACUAAAUCAAUACAAGCCGUGAAGGUGCACAGUCUAGACCGGGUUAUUACCCGAAAACAUGAUAAACAGCUUGAUGUGUUCGAUGAUUAACAUUUAUUAAUAGCCUACCCUAUUUUUACAAUAAGUUCUUCCACCAAGUUCACUUCUUGCUUGAAGCAACGUUUUAGUGACGUGACGCAGCAUGGGCAAAAUAUCCUUAGAAAAAAAGUAGCUACAUUUACAUUAAAAUUAUAUUCCAGCUGACAGUAGUUUGGGCUUUGUUUAAACGGGUGUGAGUUUAAAAAUGCAUUAUUAACCAUUUAGACCAUCUAUAGCAACACUCCAGCAACCACUGAAGAUGCAGUUGUUUUAUUUUCUGUUCUAUUAAAUGUUAAAAAUGUUAAUUAACAGGUAGUUAUUUUAAGCAGGUAGACAGUUAUCACAAUGAAAACAGCUGUCAUAUUUGUCAAUUUUUGUCUUAUAAUGUUAAAACUAAACCUGAAACUAAUCAUAAUUUCUAGAAACUAGAAUAGCCUAAAUACUGUAGAUCCCACAUAAAUAACAUUUAUAAAUAAAAUACUACCUAUUGAUUUGAUACCAUGAAAA